CUACGAUUCGUAGGUGACCUGCGGAAGGACA
rnacentral:rRNA from 1 species